AAGCGUGCGUAGGCGGCUUUUUAAGUCGGAUGUGAAAUCCCCGAGCUUAACUUGGGAAUUGCAUUCGAUACUGGGAAGCUAGAGUAUGGGGAGAGGAUGGUAGAAUUCCAGGUGUAGCGGUGAAAUGCGUAGAGAUCUGGAGGAAUACCGAUGGCGAAGGCAGCCAUCUGGCCUAAUACUGACGCUGAGGUACGAAAGCAUGGGGAGCAAACAGGAUUAGAUACCCUAGU
rnacentral:rRNA from 1 species